rnacentral:lncRNA from 1 species
GCUGCCUCUGCUGAGUCAUGCAGGUUGUCAGGGAAGUGGGGGAAAGCGAGCAGUCGCAGGCUUCACCCAACUCCCACACAAUCUGAAGGGCUGGUCUCACUCCCAUUGUGCCACCCCCAACAGCACUGUCUAUUUCCAGGCAGUGGGUGAGCAGGGCUUAAGAACUUGUCCCAGGCUGCCCGCCUCCCAGCCGUGAGAUAAAAGGGCUCUGGUUCUUCCCCCACCUGUGGAGUCUGCAUGCUAGAUUUACACCCUCCCCUGAGUUCUGGCCAGGAGGCCUCUCACCUGGUUCAAAUUGUUACAACGUUCAGCUGGAGACCUCCUACUCCCUGUGGUUAUCUCCCCGCACCUCUGGCCACCCUCCCGAAAGGAUCCCUGUGGUGCCAGGCAGGAAUGGCCUGCCUGGGGACCCAGCAAGCUCCCAGGGCCCUUCCCACUGCCUCCUCCACCCCUGCAUUUCACUCAGCUCUCUAAGUUGACUCAGCUCCAGGUGAGGAUACAGUGAGAAGACAGCCGUCUGCAAUCAGGAAGGGGACUCUCACCAGACAACAAGUCUUCCAGCACCUUUAUCUUGGACUUCCAGCCUCCAGAAUUAUGACAAGUAUUCACCUUCAGUUUUCCAAGACGAUGGAAAGCACCACUGGUGCAUGUAGUUAACAGCAGCUUGACUCAGACACAGAACUGCAGCCAGGGCCCAUCUGUUCCCAUCACUCCUACUGCCAGUUUUACAACCAGAACUAGAGUGAUUUAUCCAUCUCAGUUUGCUCAGGACUCAGCAGAAGAGGAUCCUGGGACACAAGACUUUCAGUGCUCAAACUUGGAGAGUUCAAGACUUUCAGUGCUCAAACUUGGAGAGUCCUUGGCAAUCACAGUUUGACUAUGACUGAGAAGAUUCCCAGAAAGAAGGACUUUUAAUUCUAAAACUGAGAAAGUCCCAGGGCAUGAGUUGUUCACCUUAUUUGCAACCAACUUCUAAUUCAUCAUGAGGGCUUUGCAUAAACUUAUGCUUUAGGACUAGUAGAGUCAGUCAUUGCUUCAAAUUAAGUAGUGUGGCAAAAGUCUGUUAUUUUUCAGGAAAAAUUAAUGUCUGAUUGUGUUAAUCCUGGUUGCAAUAACUUAUCUCAUUUCCCCACUUUCCUGUGGAAAAAUUCCCAAUUUCUCAACCUGGCAUAUUAAGCAGCUGAAAAGUGGCCUAUGCCUUCAUCCCUGUCACUAUCUCCCUCCACUUGCCACCAUGCCCCAGUCUCUCUGAACUUUGUCAUUCUCCUUCAAGACUGGUGAUAUGGCUUGGCUGUGUCCCCACCCAAAUCUCAUCUUGAAUUGUAGCUCCCCUAAUCCACAAGUGUUGUGAGAGGGAUCCAGUGGGAGGUAAUUGAAUCAUGGGGAUGGGAUUUUCCUGUGCUGUUCUCGUGAUAGUGAAUAAGUCUCAUGAGAUCUGAUAGUUUUAUAAAGGGCAGUUCCCCUGCAUACACUGUCUUGCCUGCCACCAUGUAAGAUGUGCCUUUGCUCCUCCUUUGUCUUCUGCCAUGAUUGUGAGGCCUCCCCAGCCAUGUGGAACUGUGAGUCAUUAAACUUCCUUUCCUUUAUAAAUUACCCAGUCUUGGGUAUUUCUUCAUAGCUGUACAAAAACUGGAGACCUGAGAAAAUAGACAUUUUUUCAUCCCAGAUUCUUUCUUUCCCUGUCUCCCUUACUGCUUCCAUCCAUUCAGCAUAGUCAUGUAAGAAAACUCAAGCAUCACUGACUCUGAAUAACUGUUUUCAUCUUCCUCAAGAAGUUAUCUCCCUAUCCUUUAAGCUCAACUAAUGCUUUGUUUAUAUCUUUAAAAUAGAAUUGAUUACGUACUAUAUCAAAUACAUAUGCUUUAUACCUGUCUCCUUUACUAGACUAUUUCUCUAUUUAGUAGACUUACUUCUCAACAGUGAUAACUUAUUUUUCUUUUUAUCUCUAGUGCUUAAUCUCUUGCCUGGUGUACAAUAAAAUUUGUUGUAUGAACAUCUGAGUGGAUACAUUUUUAUACAUUUUAAACAGAUGGGAAAACUGAAGCUUAGAGUGGUUAAAUGAUUUCACCAAGAUCAAUAGCUAGGAAAUGACUGAAACGGGGCUUGAACCAAAGUCUUCCAAAUCUGACACCCAUGCAUUCAUCACCCCCUCAUUUGUAUACAUGGGUUACCAAUAACACAC